GAGUUUGAUCUUGGCUCAGAGCGAACGCUGGCGGCAGGCUUAACACAUGCAAGUCGAGCGCCGUAGCAAUACGGAGCGGCAGACGGGUGAGUAACGCGUGGGAACGUACCUUCUGGUUCGGAAUAACUCAGGGAAACUUGAGCUAAUACCGGAUAAGCCCUUCGGGGGAAAGAUUUAUCGCCGGAAGAUCGGCCCGCGUAAGAUUAGCUAGUUGGUGAGGUAAUGGCUCACCAAGGCUACGAUCUUUAGCUGGUCUGAGAGGAUGAUCAGCCACAUUGGGACUGAGACACGGCCCAAACUCCUACGGGAGGCAGCAGUGGGGAAUAUUGGACAAUGGGCGCAAGCCUGAUCCAGCCAUGCCGCGUGAGUGAUGAAGGCCUUAGGGUUGUAAAGCUCUUUUAGCAGGGACGAUAAUGACGGUACCUGCAGAAAAAGCCCCGGCCAACUUCGUGCCAACAGCAGCCGCAGU
rnacentral:rRNA from 1 species